UACAGAGGUCUCAAGCGUUGUUCGGAUUCAUUGGGCGUAAAGGGUGCGUAGGUGGCGCGCUAAGUCAGGUGUGAAAUUUCGGAGCUUAACUCCGAAACUGCAUUUGAUACUGGCGUGCUUUGAGGACUGGAGAGGAGACUGGAAUUCAUGGUGUAGCAGUGAAAUGCGUAGAGAUCAUGAGGAAGACCAGUGGCGAAGGCGGGUCUCUGGACAGUUCCUGACACUGAGGCACGAAGGCCAGGGGAGCAAACGGG
rnacentral:rRNA from 1 species